UUUAGGGGGAAGAAAACGCUACAUCCAGUUCAACGAUGCACCUUCUUCUCUCUGUUGUGUUUGAGAGAAGCCGAGGAUCCAUGGACACUUGUGUUCACAAAGAGAGUAGUUCGAACAAGUCUGCGAUCUCUCCUUCUAAGCUUGGUUCAGAGAUAAUUUCGUUUGCAUUUCAUGAAGAAAAUACAUCAACGAUUUGUCAGGAUAUAUGGGAGAGCUGUAUUAUUUAUUCAAGCAUAUGGAAUUAAUGAUAAUUUUCAAGAUCCUCAGCCAGCUAAUAGAGUUUGAAAUGGAGUAAUUUUCAAACGAUUCAUAUACUGAUCAAGAAUAAACCGACAAAGAGGAAAGCAAAGGUUAGACUUCCCUUUUUUCGUAAAAUUAUUUUGCCACAAAAUCCGACGCCAUAUUUUACCCUGACCCGGAAACAGUUUAUCUCACUUCUUCUGUGGGUGGAAGAUGCAUAAUACUAUUUAUGGAAUUGAAGAUAUUUCCUCAACAUUAUAUCGUUUCAUUCCAAACAUGUUUUUCAGAUAUCUCCUCUAACAAAAAUAUAUAUUUAUU